AUCACUUCUCGGCCUUUUGACUAAGAUCAAGUGUAGAAUUUGUUCUUAUCAAUUUAAUAUCUGAUAUGUCUCUAUCCGAGGACAAUACAUUAAAUGGAUUUUUGGAACAAGGGGAUGGAAUAGGAGUUUGCCCUGUCCACUCCACACAUCGACCUGGUAUUGCAGUACCUGCAGGAACAUGCACCAAAA
rnacentral:snRNA from 1 species